AUGACAUUCCAUUAUGUCUGUAUCACAUCUUGGUUAACCAUUUAUUCAUUGCUGGACAUGUGGGUUGCUUGUGAAUAGGGCUGCUAUGAAAAUCGGUGUGUAAAUAUCUCUUCAAGAUCCUGCUUUCAUCCCACCCCAUCACUUUAUUGAAGAAUAAUUGGCUCACAGAAUCUACCUACGUAGUAACCUAGGAAGAUGCAUGUGGCCGCUGAUGAUCAUCGAGCAUGCAGAAUCCAUUGGAUCUCAUCAUUCAUUUGAGCCGUCCCACUUUCUCCAACCCAUUGAAAAAUCUUUUUAUUCGGGAAUUAUUUAAAGCCUACAAUAAAUUGUGAAAUACAAA